GACGAACGCUGGCGGCGUGCUUAACACAUGCAAGUCGAACGGUGAAGCGCCUUCCUUUUUGGUGGGUGUGGAUGAGUGGCGAACGGGUGAGUAACACGUGAGUAACCUGCCCCCUUCUUCUGGAUAACCGCAUGAAAGCGUGGCUAAUACGGGAUAUCCUGGGUCUGUCGCAUGAUGGGUAUGGGAAAGAUAUUGGUUCGGUGGGGGAUGGGCUCGCGGCCUAUCAGGUUGUUGGUGGGGUGAUGGGCUUCGAAGGCGGUGACGGGUAGCCGGCCUGAGAGGGUGGACGGCCACACUGGGUGUGAGACCCCGUCCGGACUGAUACAGGGGGCAGCCGUCGGCGAUAGUGAGCAGUGGGGGCAAGCCUGAUGCAGCGGCGCCGCGUGAGGGGUAGCGGCCUGCGGGUUGUGAAGCCCUUUCGCCAGUGAAGCGCGCCUGCCUCGUUUGUGGCUGGGUUGACGGUAGCUGGAAAAGAAGCACCGGCUAACUACGUG
rnacentral:rRNA from 1 species